rnacentral:ncRNA from 1 species
CAAAAGUUUGGUUCUGGCUUGAAAUUUUGAUUGUGGUUACCCGAAAUACAUGGAUUUUUUAGAGGAGAGUGAGUAAAGAACUUUUAUUUCUAAAGAAAAUAAAAUUUUAUAAUGAAAGAAGUUCUUGGUAUUAUUUAGAAACGAUACCUAUUUCUAUUUCACUUCACCAGUAUUGGAGAUUAAAGUAAUGUAGGAAACUAUGAUUUAGGGAUUAACCAAAAGACUUGGAAAAACUUGUGCCAGCCUCCGCGGUUAGACAAAUAUAGUUAAGUCAAAAUGUGACGGUUUAAAAGACGGUUAGUUUUAGAAGAAAAGGUAGGCCUAAUUAUUUUUAUAGGUUAAAUUAGAAAAAAUAGUUUUAAGUUUUUUUCUACCUUAAGAAUGAUACCGUGAAAACUUAUACUAAAACCGGGAUUAGAUACCCCGUUAUUUAAGAAGUAAAUAUAGUGACAAUUAUACCUGAGUAUUACGAGUUUUACAUCUUAAAACUUAAAGGACUUGGCGGUGCUCUAGACCCAGUCAGGGGAACCUGCCCCAUAAUCGAUAUUCCACGUGAUACCUGGCUUCUCUUGGCAAAUCAGUUUGUAUACCGUCGUCAUCGGGUAACUUUUUAAAAAACAGAAGUUAGCUAUAAGAAAAUUUUAUUUCUUUAUGUCAGAUCAAGGUGCAGCUUAUAGAGAAGUGGUGGUGGGUUACUUUAAAAAAUUUUUAAUGGAUCUUUCUAUGAAAAAAGAAAGUGAAAUAGGACUUGAGAGUAAGCUUUAGAAAGAGUGUUAAGCUGAACUAGGAUUUUAGAGUGUGCACAAAUCGCCCGUCGCUCUCGUUGAAAAAUGAGAUAAGUCGUAACAUAGUAAAAGUACCGGAAGGUGUUUUUUAAAUAAA